UUGAGGCUUGUGCGACAGCAGCUCCAUGUCAUAGUGGAACGUGUUGAUGUGCUGUUUGUAGGCACCUUCCCGUAGGUACGUCUUCCCGCAGUGCUUGCACACGUACCGCUUCUCCAGCAAGCCUGUGUGUGUUUUCAUGUGCUGCUUCAGCUGCUGGUAUAUUUGGAAGGUGCGGCCGCACUUCUCGCAGGGAAAUAAGCCGUUGACCUGGGACAUCUGGACGUCCAUGAAAUCCAUGUCAUCCAUCGCCUUGGGGGUAGUCUCCGUCUCCUCCUGACUAUAAGCUGCUGCCCUGCUCCCAAAGUUUCACUCGCGGCUUACUGCAUAUUCAGGGAUGGUUCCCCUUGCUCAUACUUGCUGGUUAUAUCAGCCAGCAAAGCCAAAGCCGAAUCAUCCGACUGGUUGCUCCGGGCCAUAUCAACCACCUCCACCAACUCUGGUGCCACUUCAAUGGCAUUUUCUUCAACUACCUGAAUUUCCACCUGCAGAGCGGUGAACAGAGAGAAGAUGUGAAUGAGAGCAGUGUUUUUCUUUUUCAUUUUCAUUUUGAGAGAAGUGACGACUGAAAAUAACAAACCUGUUCAGCUUCCACUGAGGGCAGAGUUUCUGUAAUCACAUUUGAUGUCUCAGCAAUCUUCCGUUUUUUACUUUGAGUUACAGCUGGCUGCUUGCCAUUCAUCCUGCAUGACAAAUGAUGGUUUGUUUUGUAAAAAGACAAAAUAUCUGUCAUACAAUGAAUAGCAUCGUUGUCCAUGUCAAGGUUCUGAACAUGCAGUACAAAAUGAUGUAAUAUUGUUCACAAAGUUGGUCCUGCAGGAGGUUUUCACACUGCUUUUUCACGAGGUUUUCACGAGCUAUGUCCUUUUUUUUGCUACUCAACUGAGGGUAGUAAGAAGUCAUCAGCCUGGUGACACUGUGGUCGUGAGCCCUUGCCUUGGCUAAGGAAGUUGAGCAGAGGCCUCUAACGGAAGAUGCAAAAAAAAAAAAAAAAAAGGCCAGCUUCCUCCACUCAAAGAACCUUUUUAGUUUGAGGAACGAUUUGUAGGAAGCACUUCAUUCUAAAAACCAGUAUCCCCUUUGAGGGCGGUUUCACACUGCAGAUUCUGUCUCCGGUGGCCUUAGUUCGAUUCGCCCCCUGCUGUGCAGCCUUGCACCUCUGCGCCUCAGGCGAUGUCCAUUUUUUCCUUCUCAGCUGGCAGCACUCUGCGUAAAAUAGCUGGUUUGCGAGCCAUGACAAAGCACAUCUCAAGGAAGUCGUCAUCAGCCGCGCGACAACCUAUUUGCCGCCAUCAGCUUAGACCACCUUAUUUCUCUGUCACUUCUCAACACUACGAGUCAUCGUCACACCUCAGAUAUUGACUAAUGACAGACACAUUUGUGCACGUUCGCACAGACACUAAUGGCAGGGUAGAAGGGUCACCGCAGUAUAAAUUGUCAGCGAUUAUUGAGUUCAUGUUGCCUGCAACAUUAGAAUUUGCCUCAAAUCAAAGAGUGAUUUUGUAUUUAAUACUAGUAAAAUGAAGACAGCAGAGUUCUGUGUGUAGUCAGCUGAAACCCCCAGAAAAAAAGCUUUUUAAAAAUCUAUGUUUAAUCUGAUUCACCACAGAGCAUCCGUUGACUCUUGGCUCCCCAGACUUCGAUGAAUAAUACAUGAAAUACACAAAGCAAGUUCAAUUUAGGUCAUAACAACGCCAACCAACUACCUUUAAAUCAUGUUGACCCUGGAGCUGAUGAGCCGAGUCUGAGGACUGUGACUGGAAACUCAUGGGCAUUGAAUAAAUCCCAAACUACUCAGUCUUGACACUACUAAUAUCAUCAUUGAGAGUUUCAUGUUUUAAAAUAUCGUGUCAGCCUUCACAGGAGGUGUGAAGGGGAGUCCAUGUUUGCAUUAGGACUCAUUUCAUGGUAAUAUAUGGUCAUAUUUGUACACAAUUC